rnacentral:misc_RNA from 1 species
ACAGCAGCAUCUUUUGUUCAGGUUCUUUUAUCUUCUGCUUCCCAUUAUUUCAUUCGUGCUGCAUCAAGCAGUGAUAGUCAAUUUGUCAUGUAGAGAUUGCAUAUGCACGAGUUUUUUAUCUCUGAAAAUUACUUUUGAUUGUUUACUAAAUAUUAAAUGGAAAUUGAUCCUUUUCAUUUCUUCCCUCAUUCUUCUUCUCAGUAUUUUGAAA